ACUUCCCUGUCACCAUCACUUCCCUGUCACCAUCACUUCCCUGUCACCAUCACCUCCCUGUCACCAUCACCCACCUCUCACCAUCACCCGCCUCUCCUUCUCACCAUCACCACCCCCAUACACACAACACACUUCAAGCAGCUACCCCAUACACAUAGGCAGGGCCGUCUUUAAUUUUGAUUGGACCCUGGGCAACCAUUUACUUGGGCC